GGCAAGGGAGAUGGAGCCGAGAGGAGGAGGUUUGGGCCGGGCCGGGCAGGGGAGAUGGAGCCGAGGGGAGGAGGUUUGGGCCGGGCCGGGCAGGGGAGAUGGAGCCGAGAGGAGGAGGUUUGGGCUGGGCCGGGCAGGGGAGAUGGAGCUGAGAGGAGGAGGUUUGGGCCGGGCCGGGCAGGGGAGAUGGAGCCGAGGGGAGGAGGUUUGGGCUGGGCCGGGCAGGGGAGAUGGAGCUGAGAGGAGGAGGUUUGGGCCGGGCCGGGCAGGGGAGAUGGAGCCGAGAGGAGGAGGUUUGGGC